rnacentral:rRNA from 1 species
UUGGAAAUUUAUUUUCAGUGUCGCAGGGAAACCGAUAAACACACCGCCUGGGGAGUACGACCGCAAGGUUAAAACUCAAAUGAAUUGACGGGGACCCGCACAAGUAGUGGAGCAUGUGGUUUAAUUCGAAGAUACGCGCAGAACCUUACCAACACUUGACAUGUUCGUCGCGACUCUAAGAGAUUAGAGUUUUCGGUUCGGCCGGACGAAACACAGGUGCUGCAUGGCUGUCGUCAGCUCGUGUCGUGAGAUGUUGGGUUAAGUCCCGCAACGAGCGCAACCCUCACUUUUAGUUGCCAUCAUUAAGUUGGGCACUCUGAAAGAACUGCCAGUGAUAAGCUGGAGGAAGGUGGGGAUGACGUCAAGUCCUCAUGGCCCUUACGUGUUGGGCUACACACGUGCUACAAUGGCAUCUACAACAGGAAGCAAAACGGCAACGUUAAGCAAAUCCCGAAAAGAUGCCUCAGUUCGGAUUGCACUCUGCAACUCGAGUGCAUGAAGCUGGAAUUACUAGUAAUCGUGGAUCAGCGUGCCACGGUGAAUGCGUUCCCGGGUCUUGUACACACCGCCCGUCACACCAUGGGAGUUGGUUCUACCUUAAGGCAAGGUUUUAAACCCUUGACCACGGUAUAGUCAGCGACUGGGGUG